rnacentral:rRNA from 1 species
UGUAAGCGUAUACCAAAGUUGUUGCAGUUAAAACGCUCGUAGUCGGAAUUUGGCAGUUCCGGAUGUGUGCACGUCGUGUGCGCACUUCGCGGGGAUUGCUUUUGUGGUCUUGCGUAGGAUGAGGCACUUUUAUUAGUGAACGUCCUCACGCAACCACUUUUUACUGUGAGAAAAUCAGAGUGCUCAAAGCAGGCAUUUGCCGUGAAUGUAUUAGCAUGGAAUAAUAGAAUAGGACUUGGUUCUAUUUUGUUGGUUUGUUGGGACUGAGUAAUGAUUAAGAGGGACAGUUGGGGGCAUUUGUAUUUCGGUGCUAGAGGUGAAAUUCUUAGAUUACCGAAAGACAAACUGCUGCGAAAGCGUCUGCCGAGGAUGUUUUCAUUGA